GUCCGGCCCGGGUGGGAGGGGAGUGGGCUCAGGCUUCAGGGGCCCAAGGGGGACUGGGUAGGUGGAGGGAGGGGCCGUGUGGACUGUAGAGCACAGAGGACUUUGCUGUGUGGAGCGGGUGUUCCAGGUGGGAGCCCUGCUGGGGCACGGCUGGCGUGGGAACACAGCAGGGGUCACUUGUUCAUUUGCCCAGAGCUGGCAUGGUUGACGAGGGUGAUAAGAUGCCCGUGAGGGGUCUCCUGCCCUGGCUUGGCUCCAACACCCUGCCUUCAUC